AGCAGUAGCCGCGGUAAUACAGAGGAUGCAAGCGUUAUCCGGAAUGAUUGGGCGUAAAGGGCUCGCAGGCGGUUUCUUAAGUCUGAUGUGAAAGCCCCCGGCUCAACCGGGGAGGGUCAUUGGAAACUGGGAAACUUGAGUGCAGAAGAGGAGAGUGGAAUUCCACGUGUAGCGGUGAAAUGCGUAGAGAUGUGGAGGAACACCAGUGGCGAAGGCGACUCUCUGGUCUGUAACUGACGCUGAGGAGCGAAAGCGUGGGGAGCGAACAGGAUUAGAUACCCCAGUAGUCCCUGUCUCUUAUAC
rnacentral:rRNA from 1 species